AUUUCAACGGGUGUGGUCGCGGCCUCCGGGGGCUUGCCCCUGGGCGGUAGAGGUAACACUCUCACGCGCCACAUGUCUGAAUCCUUUUUUUACGAGCACCUUUCGUUCUCCUUCGGUGGGGCAACCUGCCGUUGGAACUUAUCAAAACCUUUUUUGCAUCUAGCAUUACCUGUUCAGAUACAAACAAUCGUUACAACUUUCAACAAUGGAUCUCUUGGCUCUGGCAUCGAUGAAGAACGCAGCGAAAUGCGAUAAGUAGUGUGAAUUGCAGAAUUCAGUGAAUCAUCGAAUCUUUGAACGCACAUUGCGCCCCUUGGUAUUCCAUGGGGCAUGCCUGUUCGAGCGUCAUCUACACCCUCAAGCUCUGCUUGGUGUUGGGCGUCUGUCCCGCCUCUGCGCGUGGACUCGCCCCAAAUUCAUUGGCAGCGGUCUUUGCCUCCUCUCGCGCAGCACAUUGCGCUUCCGAGGGGCGUGGGCCGCGUCCACGAAGCAACAUUACCGUCUUUGACCUCGGAUCAGGUAGGGAUACCCGCUGAACUUAAGCAUAUCAAUAAGCCGGAGGAAAUCAUUACAAUUCAGGUGUGGUGCGCUCGGGGGCUUGCCCUGGGCGGUAGAGGUAACACUCUCCGCGCACAUGUCUGAAUCUUUUUUUAGAGCACUUUCGUUCUCUUCGGUGGGGGCAACUGCGUUGGAACUUAUCAAACUUUUUUGCAUCUGCAUUACUGUUCGAUAAAACAAUGUUAAACUUUCACAAUGGAUCUCUUGGCUCUGGCAUGAUGAAGAAGCGGAAAUCAUAGUGUGUGAAAUUGCAGAAUUCAUGAAAUCAUCAAUCUUGUAGCAUUGCUUGGUAUUCAUGGGGGCAUGCUGUUUCGAGUCUCUCACCUCAGCCUCUGCUUGGUGUUGGGCGUCUGUCCCUCUGCGUGACUCCCAAUUCAUUGGAGCGACUUGUCUUCCUUCUCCGCAGACACAAUUGUUCUCUCACUAAAAUGAGAGAGCGCCGCCCCAUAGACAACAGUUAUCUUGCUGCGC
rnacentral:rRNA from 1 species